UACGUAGGGGGCAAGCGUUGUCCGGAUUUAUUGGGCGUAAAGAGCGUGUAGGCGGCCUGAAAGGUCAGCUGUAAAAACUCGAGGCUCAACCUCGAGACGCCGAUGGAAACCCCCUGGCUAGAGUCCGGAAGAGGAGAGUGGAAUUCCUGGUGUAGCGGUGAAAUGCGCAGAUAUCAGGAAGAACACGCGUGGCUAAGGCGGCUCUCUAGUACGGUACUGACGCUGAGACGCGAAAGCGUGGGGAGCGAACAGG
rnacentral:rRNA from 1 species